rnacentral:lncRNA from 10 species
UAAAGUGCCAAUAAAGUAAUUAAAAGAAAAAAUCUAAAACAUGUUAAAAUAAAUCCAAAGAAGUCAGGAAAGAGAGAACAGAAGAACAAAAAAUAAUCAGGCAAACAGGAAAUAGAUAAUAAAAUGGUAAAUCUAAAUCUAAACAUAUGAAUAAAUGUGUUCAAUAUUAGUGAGUUAAACGCUUCAGUUCAGAGGGAGAGGUUGUCAACAUGGAUUUUACAAAGCCCUACCCAACUAUAUGCUGUCUACAAGAGUUGCACUUUAAAAUAAAAACAAUGUAGGUUGAGGGUAAUGGCUGGAAAAUGGAUAUACUACACAAAUUGAGAAUAUAAGAGCGUGGAGUAGCUAUAUUAAAAUCAGAAAAAAACAGAUAUAAAGGAACAUUUCUAAAUGAUAAAAAGAGUUUGUUCAUCAGGAAUACAUAAUAAGCAUAAAUGUGUAUAUGCUGAAUAACAGAGCUUCCAGAUACAUGAAGUAAAAACGGAUAGAAUCAACUGGAUACAUGUCACUAUUAUGGCACCUUGUAAUUAUGGGUUUAGGCCCUAUGAUUCCAGUUUAGGUUAGAAGAUGUUUCUUAACGCUUUCUGUAUGUUGGCUUUAGGUGAUACAAAAUAAUAUGACAAGAUCCAUAUCUUCAAUGAGCUACAAUCCUACUGGGACAUGAGACUGUGCUUAUAAUACGAUGAAAGAAUAAGAAAAUUUUAAAGUGUUUGGCUCUCCGUUCCUCCUUGAUCUUCAGUGAAUGCUAACAGCGGGAGUGUGAAGAAGCCAGAAUUUAGUGUUGAAGGGCCAGAUACUGUCCUGGACAAUUUACUUACUGUAGUCCAUCUAUUUCCAUGGUUACCUCCAGAGUCAGGGGCCACAGACCUUUGUAGCUGCUUCUCGAAGACACUGAGUGGACCCUUUGGGAAGCCACUCUCUGGAGGUGGUGCUGAGAAUGUAAAUGAAGCUUUCCAGCUCCUGGGAGGUUAUGGACUUGUUCAUGGAGGCAAGAGAAGCCACAGACUGGAGCAGCUGGAAAUUUCGGCUCUUGAAGCUGAAAUCUUAAACUGGAAAUCUCAGCCCUAAGUUUUCCAGACAUUGUGCUCCACGUCAGCAAGGUAUUAACAGUUAUUUACUCUCCAGUUGUUGGAAUCUGGGAUUUGUCUGGCAACUGCAUGCCCUCGAUCAAAGCCAUGACUGACUGCCGUGUCAUCGUUGUGCUAUUAUUGACUUUGUUUCUUGACUUGUACUUAAAGAUGCCUCCUGGGUGUGAAGUUUUUCUUUAAAUACUAAACUACAUUUGUGAGGUUUGGAGAGUUCGCCUAGCUUUUGCCAGUACCUAUUCUUGAGGAAUGAACACUGAUCUGUCUGUAACCAGCACUACUGGGUGAAGUCCUAGACCACACUUGGGCCACCCCUUGACUUACAUGCUGUCUUCUGCCUAUGCCACUUCCACAUCAGGAACACCUGGUUAUUGAUGUCGUUUGGUCAAGGCUGAGCACAACAUUUGCCAUUUGGAUGACUGGUGAACAAUCCCUCAUGAUCCACCUUUGGUCUUACCAUGUCCUGGCUUCCUCUCUCUAACUGACUCACACUGAGGUUUCUGCAAAAAUUGGAGCU